rnacentral:lncRNA from 1 species
AUGCUUCAGUUUUUUUUGUUGGCUCUUUAUGUUAAUGGAACAAGUUGACCUUGGUUUGGUCUGGAUGCAGAAAUUAUUAUUAUUAUUUUGGUACUGAGGAUUGAACUCAGGGGCACUCAACCACUGAGCCACAUCCCCAGCCUUAUUUUGUAUUUUAUUUAGAGACAGGUUCUCAAAGAGUUGCUUAGUGCCUCGCUUUUGCUGAGGCUGGUUUUGAACUUGUGAUGUCCUGCCUCAGCCUCCCGAGCUGCUGGGAUUACAGGCAUGAGCCACACAGAAAUUAUUUUGAAUCCAAGUUAAGAAGAACCUGGAAAAGCAUUCAUUAAAAAUGAUAAGGGGUAUUUGGCUAAAAGGAGUGUGUUAGUCAAGGUUCUCCAUAGAAACAGAACCAAUAGGUAGUGUGUGGGUGUAAAUUUGUAAAAAUAUAAUUAACUAUAUACACCCUCAUAUAAUUAACAUUCAUAAAAAGAAAUCUAUCUUUGAGGAAUAUUUUCCUUUUGUCUGGGAAAAAAAAAGGUUUCAAAUCUACUUCCCUCAAGAUGUGGUUUAGGUUUUAUUUGUGGGAUAAAGCAGCAGGUGAUCCGAAGUGUGAGAAAAGGUGUUUGGAGGUAAGGAGGCCCUCACAAGCAUGAUCAAACUUCCUGGCUGUUCAUAGGACACAUGUUGAGAAAAUUGGUGGUAUUAAGGCAUGAUCUGAGGGUGGAGGUUUCAUCCCUUGAUGUCAAAACUUCAUUGCUGGGAUACCUGCACACGUCCAAAUGGUAGGAGGGUGGUUUCAAGAAGUUUGAGAUAUAGCUAAGGGUAGUCUCUAAGUUUCUGAAAAGGAACUCAGGCAGUUGUUACCACAGGGACCUGAUGUCAGUGGGAUUAUCUAUAGCAAAGCUAACAGCAAUAUCUCAGAUGGGUUAGGGUAGCUUCUCUAGGAAAGAAGAGAUAUAAGAGAAUAAACUUUGAUUAAAAUGAGGGAAAAAGCGGAGAGAUCUUUGGGGCAAAUAGUAAUUGCAAAUGCAAAAGCAGUAAGACUUAAUGAUAUGGCAUGAUAAUGAUGUGGUGAAACAAGAAGGCAGUGCAAACACUCUUUGAAUUUGAAAAUACAUAACAAAUUAAAGACACUUUUUUGAAUACUUCCUAUUAAGUGACAUAGUACCCCUUGAGGUGAACAAUUGAGGUGGACAAUUUCACCCUACUCCCAGCACCAGGAGUUUGACUACUACCAAAUCUAAUUUACAGGUAGUAAACUUCUUCAUUUCUAAGUAAUUUUUUCAGUACUUCAUUUUUUUGUUUGUUUCAGGUAUUAACUACUAAUACCUAAAUACUUCUUGUUUGGUAGCCUCUAACAAAGGAGAUAGCACAAAAGUGGACACAUAAACACAAAGAGAUAAAGCAUUAAUACAAAAGUCAGCAAUAUAUCAACAUAUAUAAAAUGGUCAGUGUGUAAAGUAAAAAGCACAUCUCAAGCAUUGGUUUUUGAAAUAGAUUCAUACGCAAACUUAAAUUCAUUCUGUAAAUCUACUGUUUUAAUAUAAGGCAAUACACAGAAAGAUAAAUCAGGGAUGAUAUGUUCCGUAAAACUUACGUGGAACAAAAUUUAAGGGAAGAAAAGAUAGAUCUAUUCAACUUUUAUUGGUGCCACAAGAGGAUUUAAUUUUAAUACAUGUUUUGCAGACGUAAAACUUUUUUGAACAGUGGGGGAGAUUCUUUCAGGUAAACCUCAACCUGAAGGUUUUCCCUUUAUUUCUAAAGUCUAGAAUACUGUAGCAUCUUUCAGGGAGAGAAGACAAAUGCAGAAGGCACUGGGGGGAAACUCUUCCCCUUAUGUAUCCACCAUGGAAUGGAUUCUGAUAGUGCUAUUGGGAAAAAAGAAUCAUGAGCUAGUGGCUUGUGAUUAAGGAGUCUGAACAUUUAGAAAAGCUUAGAUUGGUUAGGAAUUCUCUACAAUAACCUUUCAAAGCUUAAAGGCAAGGGGGCGGGGUUGGCUGGUACAAAAGCUAUCUAUUAUUAAACUACCCUGGAAUGGGAUGCAGGAAGUUAUACAACUACCUUAGUAAAGGAAGUGGCAGAGAAAUUAAAUGAGACAAAGCAUGAAAUGAAUUUAAAUCUAGGCAAGGUUAUUUUGUAGUCUACUCCAAACCAAGGAUUUAAAGAGCACUUUUAAGAAAAUAAAUAGAGAAAUAAAUAGCCUAAAUGCUAGUUGUCUGAUUCUUUGUACUUUGUUUUAUGUGGAUGAAUUUGUGCAAGUAUGUAUCAUGUAACUCUCAGUGAACUACUCAUUGGAUAAUGGUGGUUCUACUACCUUUAUCUCAAUUUAUUUUCCUUAAAG